GGCGUUUACCACGGUGUGGUUCAUGACUGGGGUGAAGUCGUAACAAGGUAGCCCUAGGGGAACCUGGGGCUGGAUCACCUCCUUA
rnacentral:rRNA from 1 species